rnacentral:rRNA from 1 species
GAUGAACGCUAGCGGCAGGCCUAAUACAUGCAAGUCGAACGGAUAUAUGUUUUUCGGAAUAUAUAUUAGUGGCGCACGGGUGAGUAACACGUACAUAACUUGCCCUCAAGCGGGGGAUAGCCUUGGGAAACUGAGAGUAAUACCCCAUAGAAUUAUUGGACGGCAUCGUUUGAUAAUUAAAACUACGGUGCUUGGGGAUAGAUGUGCGUCUGAUUAGCUAGUUGGUGAGGUAACUGCUCACCAAGGCGACGAUCAGUAGGGGGCGUGAGAGCGUGGCCCCCCACACGGGUACUGAGACACGGACCCGACUCCUACGGGAGGCAGCAGUAAGGAAUAUUGGUCAAUGGAGGGAACUCUGAACCAGCCAUGCCGCGUGAAGGAUGACGGCCCUCUGGGUUGUAAACUUCUUUUGGAUGGGGCGAAAAAACGGGAUUUAUCCUGGACUGACGGUAC